GGAGAAAUGAGUCGCAAUUGAACAAAAUCACAUGGCGCAAUAUUCGGGGAUAAUGUGUCUAAAAUAUCCUGAAUACCUUGAUGUACAAUGUUUAUGGCAUGCGUAUAUGACUUAAUUCUAUCCAAAUUGAUAAAACGGAAUUCAUAGUUAUGCUCUGUAGCCCUAAAUCUUUUCAUCCGUCUUUCAGAUUCCCUUACAAUUUCUACAUGUGCAUUAAGAAAAGAAGAAUCUGUUUGAUCUUUUGCCCGAUGAAUUCUGGGUCUACGGCAACACUGCAGUCGCCUUUUCCGCUUAUUGGCCAAAAAAGCAAGACAUGGAUUCUGCAACAAUGAAACCAGCCCAUAAAGCAGAUGACGAUGUCAUCAUUUUAGAAGAAUACCAGUCUGUAGAAUGUGGAGGUGAAGCAGAUAAGCCUAAUCAGAAGGUGCUAAAAAGAGAAACUCGCCACCCCGCGAAAAAGACUGAAGCAGCUGCUGGAUGCAGCACGACUUUUGACAAGAAAAAGACGGACACACCUGGCCUAGACAGCACGACCUUGGACAUGUUGAGUCUGGACUUUAAGAACAUUUCUGUUAAGUCUAUUUGAAUGGCGGUACAAAAUAGGUUCUGAUUUUAUUUUAUUUUAACUUGACAGAUUACAAGCGGAGAGCCCAAGUAUUAUACAAAAGAAGUGCUUUCAGCAACUUUGAAAGGUCUUAUCAAUAAAAAGAAAGAUGAUUUAAAACCAGAUGUUAAAGAUUUAAUUUGCGACAUUGAAAGCCUUAUUGAAAAAAUGCCUGCCUUAGUGAUGUGUUUCCUUUUUUCGGA